rnacentral:rRNA from 1 species
GCGGCAGGCCUUAUACAUGCAAGUCGGACGGUAACAUUGGUGCUUGCACCAGAUGACGAGUGGCGCACGGGUGCGUAACGCGUAUGCAACCUACCUUUUACUAGAGUAUAGCCCAGAGAAAUUUGGAUUAAUCCUCUAUAAUAUCUAUUAAUCUCAUGAUUUUUAGAUUAAAGUUUUAACGGUAAAAGAUGGGCAUGCGUCUUAUUAGUUUGUAGGUGAGGUAAUGGCUCACCUAGACUACGAUAGGUAGGGGCCCUGAGAGGGGGAUCCCCCACACUGGUACUGAGACACGGACCAGACUCCUACGGGAGGCAGCAGUAAGGAAUAUUGGACAAUGGACGAAAGUCUGAUCCAGCCAUGCCGCGUGCAGGAUGACAGCCCUAUGGGUUGUAAACUGCUUUUAUACAGGAAGAAACACUCCGACGUGUCGGAGCUUGACGGUACUGUAAGAAUAAGGAUCGGCUAACUCCGUGCCAGCAGCCGCGGUAAUACGGAGGAUCCAAGCGUUAUCCGGAAUUAUUGGGUUUAAAGGGUCCGCAGGCGGUCUUUUAAGUCAGAGGUGAAAGCCUACAGCUCAACUGUAGAAUGGCCUUUGAUACUGAAAGACUUGAGUUAUUGUGAAGUGGUUAGAAUGUGUGGUGUAGCGGUGAAAUGCAUAGAUAUCACACAGAAUACCGAUUGCGAAGGCAGAUCACUAACAAUAUACUGACGCUCAUGGACGAAAGCGUGGGGAGCGAACAGGAUUAGAUACCCUGGUAGUCCACGCCGUAAACGAUGGAUACUAGCUGUUCGUCUAACAUUGGUUAGAUGAGUGGCUAAGCGAAAGUGAUAAGUAUCCCACCUGGGGAGUACG